GAUGAACGCUGGCGGCGUGCUUAACACAUGCAAGUCGAACGAGAAUCAAUGGAUAGAGGCUUCGGCCAAUUGAAGUUGAGGAAAGUGGCGGACGGGUGAGUAACGCGUGAGUAAUCUGCCUUAGAGUGGGGAAUAACACAGAGAAAUUUGUGCUAAUACCGCAUAACGCACAGUUGUCGCAUGGCAGUUGUGCCCAAAGAUUUANCGCUCUAAGAUGAGCUCGCGUCUGAUUAGCUAGUUGGCGGGGUAACGGCCCACCAAGGCGACGAUCAGUAGCCGGACUGAGAGGUUGGCCGGGCCACAUUGGGACUGAGACACGGCCCCAGACUCCUACGGGAGGCAGCAGUGGGGAAUAUUGGGCAAUGGGCGCAAGCCUGACCCAGCAACGCCGCGUGAAGGAGAAGGCUUUCGGGUUGUAAACUUCUUUUAUGAGGGACGAUAGUGACGGUACCUCAUGAAUAAGCCACGGCUAACUA
rnacentral:rRNA from 1 species